UCCCUGAUGGCUCAGACAGUAAAGCAUCUGCCUACAAUGCAGGAGACCUGGGUUCAAUCCCUGGGUUGAGAA
rnacentral:tRNA from 1 species